rnacentral:misc_RNA from 1 species
AACAAACAUAACAGAAGAAUUAUAAGGCUGUGAUUAAUUAGGAUAUGCUAAUACUUCUACUGCAAAUUGGAUUACACAGUGAUGUCCAUGAUUUCUAUACUCUCACUGACACAGGAAAUCCUAAUGCUAUAAAAACACAAGGAUACCCUUCUAUUUUCUUUUUAAUAGAGUCCAGAACACAAGUUUCUGCUUUCAUAAAAGUCAACAAGAACUCUUGUCUUGUUUUCCACCAGCAAAGCAAACAAAUUGGAAGAAGCAUUUAUGAAAUCAGUGGUAACCAUAGGAUUUUCAAGUGCUAACCAAGUUUCAUUUCAAAAAAUUUUUACUACUUACUAGUCUUCCAAGAUGUUUAAUCUACCUUUGGUUAUAUUAUAUUUUCAGCCACCCGCUAGCUCCUAUUGCAAAUUAUUGGAACUUUACUUUUGUCAGUGAUAUAGCCUAAAUAAGAUCCCUUCAUAGCUGGUCCCAAGCGCAUAUAAAGGACAAGGUUGUGAAUUGUGAUAGGUAAUAGCCAGCAUAAAACGUUUAUAACAUCUCAAUAUGUGGAUCCAAAUAAAUAUUGUUGGAAUGUAAAUGUAAUGCUAAACUGGGUGGAAUUAGUUGAACCAAAUUGAUUAGUCUUCAUGCAUUUCAUUUUUCUCAAAAUCAAUAGCUUCAGUGUCAAGAAUCCAGAUUUGAUGUGACAACAUUAGAUUAUGACCUUUAAUACAGAGGAAAAUAAAUAAUGGAGAUGUUACCUGAACAAAUUUUCCAAACCCACGGCCAAGAGGAGAUCCAUGAAAGAGAGCAAGUGUUGCUCCAUUUAGAAAGCAUGAGUAAAGUAAAAUUGGUCCCAUCACCCAUCCUAAAUUUGUGGGCCAGCAGUAAACAUCACCAACUUGAAUAUCAAUGUGAGCCCACGCAUCGCUAGCACAUCGAAUUGGAGAAAGUUGGGUCCAUAAUAUAGCUUUUGGUUC